UACGAAGGGGGCUAGCGUUGCUCGGAAUUACUGGGCGUAAAGCGUGCGCAGGCGGCUUUGCAAGACAGAUGUGAAAUCCCCGGGCUCAACCUGGGAACUGCAUUUGUGACUGCAAGGCUAGAGUACGGCAGAGGGGGAUGGAAUUCCGCGUGUAGCAGUGAAAUGCGUAGAUAUGCGGAGGAACACCAAUGGCGAAGGCAAUCCCCUGGGCCUGUACUGACGCUCAUGCACGAAAGCGUGGGUAUCAAACAGG
rnacentral:rRNA from 1 species